GUCACAAAAACUUUAAAAGAAGUGCAAUUCUCAAAAGGUUAGGUGGACUAAAGCAUUCUGUAAAGCAACUGCUAAUAAUGAGCUUACAGUGGAUUUGAAUUUGAAAAAUAUAGUAACAAGCCUGUCAAAUAUCUGCAAGAACUAUGGAAUAAAACUACUGAUGCAGUGAAGACAGUUGAAAAGAUCAAACAAAUGCCAAGCUAUAUUUAUAAUGAACAAAUUCAAGAAAAAGGACUACGGAAAGUUCAGGACAUCAAAGAAGUCAGGCAAAACUCAUCUUGACCCCUGUUGCAGGCAAAGGAACGCAGCUGGAAGAAAAGAUGAUAUAACAGUUAACAGGAUGCAGACAUGGCAGAGGUUUCCUAAAAAUCUCAUUAUCUAUAACCAUUUCUAUAUUUACAUUUGAAAAUCUCCUUUGGAGACUUAGAACCUCUAAAUUAUUGACUUAUUUUUUAUAUAAGGUCACUCCGAUGAAAGGUGAUUACAAAAUCAUCUACAUUGCUGUCUACAAAACAGAUAAUAUGGAUGUUUGAUCGCAUCUCAUUGUUAACUCUUUACUGAUAUGUUUGUAAAUACAGAAGUGAAAUGUGGACAUAAAAUAGUUACGCUAUUUGGUUAAUGGUACUAGACAACAUGUAAUUAAUGACAUUCAAAAAUUUAUGGCUAGUGAUAUAUAUAAAGUAAAAUUUUCUUUGCAGUAAAAUAUGCCCUUUAUUAUAGAAGGGAGGAUAUAAGGAACCAACAGUUUGUAUGAAAAUAGCUCAAAUAAUAUCUUUUAUUUUGAUUUUAAUAUUUCUUAUUUUGGUUUAUUAGUGUCUUAGAACAAAAUGGCCUUAUAUAAUGAAGCCUAGUUAUGCUGGACUGUUUUGAUCUCUUUUAAUUGUUCUGACAGAUAGUUGGGGAUGAGAGCCGAAUAAGGUUUGCCUGAAAUAACUGACACUAUAUAAUUUCUGCUUUGGCAAAUACUAAGUUCUAACUUGUCAUUCCUGGUAGAACAAGCUUUAUUUUUCGAGCCUAGCAAUGAUCUAGAAGCAGAUGUUAUCUCAGUGCCUUUUGCAAUUUGUUGUGUGGGUUUUUUUUUUUUUAAAGCCACACAAUAAUUUUGGAAAACAAUGUAUGGGUAGAACAUGUGUCUGUUAAUUGCACACAAAACCACUUUUAAUGGGUACAGAGUUAAAUUUGAAGGAAUAAGUUCUAGCUGAAGUAUUAUGAACUCCAAAUAAUGCUUUGAGGACCUCCAAAGCUACAACCAAGCAGAAUCUCUUUUUUUUGGAGGUCCUCGAAGCAUUAUUUGGAGUUGAUAAUACUUCAGCUUCAAUUUGGAGUUGAUAAUAUUUCAGCUAGAACCUAGUAGAAUCUGUUUUUUUCCUUUGGAGGUCCUCAAAGCAUUAUUGGAGUUCAUAAUACUGAAGCUAGAACCAAGCAGAAUCUGUUUUUUUCUGAGGAGUAUCGGUAGCAUAAAUGUGAUUAUAAACAUAGUACACUUGAUAUAUGGAGGCAGUGACAGCUAUUUUUACAAAAUUUAAAUCUGCAAAUGGAUUCAACAUGUUUAUGGGUUAUUAAAAUUGUCUGAUUUCUUAGGUUCUUUAUAGUACACGUGUUGAAAAUAAAUGAUUAAGAAUUGUUUCAAGAAUGCAAUUAUUUGAUCUUAAAUUUUUAUGAGUUGUUAAAAUAGAAAUUAUUUGAAUAUCAUAUAUUUGGGUAACAAAAGGCACAAGUCUGAAUGUGUUUCUUUUUCUGGAAUGGCCAUGCCUGCCCACUUUAGAAAUACAAAUAUCACUGGGCAGCUUGAAGCAGUUGGGAGCCUCCAAUGAGAGCAACUUGAGAGAAUGAUGUUGCAAGUUAGUAGGAGUAAGAAAUGCUGUGUUCUCCCUGUCUUCUCUUAGGUCACAUGGCAGCCUGGCCUAAGUGAUCGUGAAUGGUCUAUAAGGGAGGUAGCUGGGACAGGGAGGGGAGUUUGGGCUAGCCACCGUACCACUUGUCAGCGUGAAAAGUAAGAUUGUAAUUGCCUGUUUAGUUUUCUGCCUCAUCUUUGAAAGUUCCACCAAGCUGGGAACCUCUUGAUUGUGAGGCACAAAUGUAAG
rnacentral:lncRNA from 1 species